rnacentral:rRNA from 1 species
GGGGGGGGGGUGGGGAGGCUCAGUCAUCAUGGCCUUACGAGUGGGGGUACGCACGGGGUGCAAUGGUCGGACAGAGGGUUGCGAAGCCGCGAGGUGGAGCUAAUCUCACAAAGCCGGUCGUAGUCCGGAUUGGAGUCUGCAACUCGACUCCAUGAAGUCGGAAUCGCUAGUAAUCGUGGAUCAGAAUGCCACGGUGAAUACGUUCCCGGGCCUUGUACACACCGCCCGUCACACCAUGGGAGUGGGCUGCACCAGAAGUAGAUAGCUUAACCUUCGGAGGGCGU